UUCCGCCAUCAGGAGGCGGAGCUCCUCUACUUGUCAGCCUUUGCCAUUACUUCUAUGAGAGCAAGGCUUGUCCUCCUUGCUGCUCCUAUGACUGUCAUGAUCUAUAUAGCUUUGCUAUGUUAGAGGAGAUAGGGGCGAUGGAAGUUGUGUGUGAGGGAGAGAGAGAGAAAGAGGAGAGAGAAAUAGAGGGAGAGGGAGGGGGUUCAGGCUGGAUCUUGAGCUUGGUCCAGUCUGAUUGGAUUUGGAUCGGAUUCGGAUCUUAAAUUUUAAAAUAUUUUCGGAUCUAAGUCCGGUCUGAAAUCCAAAACGAAUAUUUUGGGCUGGGCUCACAACAUGGGGGUUUGGCCUGGCCCGUUUCCAGCCCUACCUAUAACCGAUCUCUUCUCUAGCCUACAAUGGCUUCCGUUCCUCCUUCCACUUGGGCUUUCGCUCCCAACGGCUCAUCGCUCCCUCCCCGGCUUCUACUAAAUCCCUCUUCCUUUUUUUUUUUUGAUAAGAAAUCCCUCUUCUUCCCACCGAGAAGACUCAAAUCCUUGAGACCCGUCCUCUGUUCUUCCGGCGAGGAAGCGCCCGACUCGGUGAAGCUCGCCUUCGCCAAGGCCGAGGCUACAAGAAGGACAAGAAGAAGAAGAAUUUGAGCCCAAUCCCGGAGCAAAACCUAGUCCCCCAGUCCAAUGGUGGUGCUAAAGAGACUGCCGAUUCGGACUCUGACAUCCCACAAGCCGUUAAGCUCGCCUUUGAGAAAACCAAGGAGUAUAAAAAGAACAAAAGAGCUUGGGUUGGGGACGGGAAUGCUGCCGCCGGGAAGCCGAGCUAUUCUGAUAUGGUGCUCAGUGAAUAGGCCCAGUUCCACCUGAUGCACCAAUCUCUGACUGCCACGUAAGAUGGCGAACCGAGUAUGAAAUAGAGCAGCAACUUGUGGCAGCACUAGAAGGCUAAUCUCCACGUCACUGGAACCUAUUUCACAACAUUAACAUUGUAAAGCAUGAAAAAAUAUGGGUCCUGCAAAUGAUGCCAUACUGCAUUAUGGUGCACGCCUGUGAUAGGGACUUCUCCAUGAUGAUUGUGUUGGUGGCCCCCAUCAAAUAACCCUCAAGAAAAGACAACCGUCUUCCACAAUAGGAGGGGCAUGGUGUUCUAUUCCAGCUAUUACAUGUUCUUGUUGAAAGUUAUACCAUGGAAUCCUAUGCAGGCCAUGGUCCUUGGAUUCCUUUGGUCUUAUCAUUGAAGGCUAGAAUGUCUUCCACAAUGCUGUCAGCGCUCUUGUUUGGUAAACUCUCAAUUAACUUUUAUUCUCUGGCAUUAGAAGCUUUCCAAUCCAAACUCUUGUUACAAGAGAGAGAGAAUAAACUAAUUCUCCAGUUUAUCAUUUCAUGGUCAGAUCUAUUUGACUUAGUUAUCCUAAAUCAUCAUUGCAGGAAAAAAUUGCAGUAAAAUUCGAGUUCAUCUUGGUAGUGAUUCUAUUUCAAUUUUGUGGACAGAAAUGGCUUAUUUUUAGAUAGCCUUCUUCGAACCAAACAGAGCAUUGGUGAUUUGAAGAGCAUAUGGACCCAACCAGAUUCACCAGGGAGGCCAUCUUGAGGUUCAAAAUUAGUACACGAGAUUGUUGCAUACAGUUUUGAAAACAAACUGGGGGACAUCUAACUUUGCCCAAAACCACCGUGCAUUCAAUGUGGAGCCAUGGGGGAAGCCGAACCAUAGUCCAAGUUUGGCAUUUCAUUUGAGAAUGAUUUGGUGGAAUUCAAAAGUUCGAGAUUCAAACAAUUUGGUAAACUUGAAACUA